AUACUAUGUUAAAUAUACCGGUUCUCGUUAGAUCUACCGAAGUCAAGCAUUAUUGGGCGCGGUCAGUACUUGGGUGGGUGACCCCUGGGAACCGCGUGUGCCGUU